UACGUAGGGUGCAAGCGUUGUCCGGAAUUAUUGGGCGUAAAGGGCGGGUAGGCGGCCACUGCAAGUCGGUUGUGAAAUCUCCGGGCUUAACCCGGAAAGGUCAAUCGAUACUGCAGGGCUAGAGUGCAGAAGGGGCAACUGGAAUUCUCGGUGUAGCGGUGAAAUGCGUAGAUAUCGAGAGGAACACCUGCGGCGAAGGCGGGUUGCUGGGCUGACACUGACGCUGAACUGCGAAAGCUAGGGGAGCGAACGGG
rnacentral:rRNA from 1 species